AGUGAACGCUGGCGGUAGGCCUAACACAUGCAAGUCGAACGGAAGCACAGUAAGAGCUUGCUCUUACGGGUGGCGAGUGGCGGACGGGUGAGGAAUACAUCGGAAUCUACUUUUUCGUGGGGGAUAACGUAGGGAAACUUACGCUAAUACAGCAUAUGACCUACGGGUGAAAGCAGGGGAGCUUCGGACCUUGCGCGAUUGAAUGAGACGAUGUCGGAUUAGCUAGUUGGCGGGGUAAAGACCCACCAAGGCGACGAUCCGUAGCUGGGCUGAGAGGAUGUUCAGCCACACUGGAACUGAGACACGGUCCAGACUCCUACGGGAGGCAGCAGUGGAGAAUAUUGGACAAUGGGCGCAAGCCUGAUCCAGCCAUACCGCGUGUGUGAAGAGAGCCUUCGGGUUGUAAAACCCUUUUGUUGGGAAAGAAAAGCAGCAGGUUAAUACCCCGCUGUUCUGACGGUACCCAAAGAAUAAGCACCGGCUAACUUCGUG
rnacentral:rRNA from 1 species